AUGCUUCUUACAUGCAUGCUAGGCAAUUUUGACUGGUGCGGCGGUGCCGGAACCACCUCCGCAGGGUACAACAGAUGUGGCCAUGCUUGAAGUCAGAAUCACCACGUUGACUGUAGUGGCCACACCCAGGUGUUGUAGUUAUCCAAGAAAUCAUGUGACCAUCUCCCGCUGUUCAAUAUUAUAUAUAUUUGGCCAUCCUGCUA